rnacentral:snoRNA from 1 species
UAUUGGCAGGAGUGAUGAAUCAAUUAGAUGUACGAAGAUACUUUAUGAGCUAAAACUUUGAGGCAUACAUUUGUCUGACUUGCCAAUC